AACGCAAAUUGCGCCUUCUUUCGGAGGGCAUGUCUGUUUGAGGGCACCAUUUAACAAAUAAUGUGCGCGUCGUUUUUACGAGCGACGUGCGCACGUUGAUGAGCUUUUCCGAAAAAACCAGGUUUUUUUGGUGGCGCAUAAUGAACAGCGUGGGCUUUUUCUUCGAUUCUCGUGUAGUAAAUCUUCAACGCUUGGGUUGAGAAAAAGUGCGUGCCGCGCAAUGGGUGUGGCGAAUUUUACCCCUGCCCCAAUGCCACUCUUUCCCUGCGAAAGAACAAUUUUUAUUCAGGGCCUCAAAUCAGACAAGAGUACCCGCUGAACUUAA
rnacentral:misc_RNA from 1 species